GGUGGACAAGCCUACGUCCGAUUAGCUAGUUGGUGGGGUAAUGGCGUUACCAAGGCGACGAUCAGUAGUUGGUCUGAGAGGACGACCAGCCACACUGGGACUAGAGACACGGCCCAGACUCCUACGGGAGGCAGCAGUGGGGAAUUUUGGACAAUGGGCGCAAGCCUGAUCCAGCAAUGCCGCGUGAGUGAAGAAGGCCUUCGGGUUGUAAAAGCUCUUUCAGUUGAAAAGAAAAAGCCGUGACUAAUAAUCAUGGUUCAUGACGGUAUCAACAGAAGAAGCACCGGCUAACUACGUGCCAGCAGCCGCGGUAAUACGUAGGGUGCAAGCGUUAAUCGGAAUUACUGGGCGUAAAGGGUGCGCAGGCGGUUCUGUAAGUCAGAUGUGAAAUCCCCGGGCUUAACCUGGGAACUGCGUUUUGAAACUGCAGAGCUAGAGUGCGGCAGAGG
rnacentral:rRNA from 1 species